rnacentral:rRNA from 1 species
CGCCUCUUUAUCAAAAACAUCGCCUCCUGCAACUUUAGUAUAGGAGGUCCAGCCUGCCCAGUGACUACGGGUUCAACGGCCGCGGUAUUUUGACCGUGCAAAGGUAGCGCAAUCACUUGUCUUUUAAAUAAAGACCUGUAUGAAUGGCCAAACGAGGGCUUAACUGUCUCCCUCUUCAAGUCAGUGAAAUUGAUCUAUCCGUGCAGAAGCGGGUGUAGUAAUACAAGACGAGAAGACCCUUUGGAGCUUAAGGUACAAAGCUUAACCAUGUUAAACAACUCAAUAAAAAGAUAGAACUUAAUGGAAACUAAGAUUUAACCUUCGGUUGGGGCGACCACGGAGGAAAAACAAGCCUCCAAGCGGAAAGGGUUAAUACCCUAAAACUAAGAGAGACAUCUCUAAGCCGCAGAACAUCUGACCAGUAGUGAUCCGGCAUAAAGCCGAUCAACGAACCAAGUUACCCUAGGGAUAACAGCGCAAUCCUCUCCCAGAGUCCAUAUCGACGAGGGGGUUUACGACCUCGAUGUUGGAUCAGGACAUCCUAAUGGUGCAGCCGCUAUUAAGGGUUCGUUUGUUCAACGAUUAAAGUCCUACGUGAUCUGAGUUCAGACCGG